ACACUCCUACGGGAGGCAGCAGUGGGGAAUCUUGCGCAAUGGGCGAAAGCCUGACGCAGCCAUGCCGCGUGAAUGAUGAAGGUCUUAGGAUUGUAAAAUUCUUUCACCGGGGACGAUAAUGACGGUACCCGGAGAAGAAGCCCCGGCUAACUUCGUGCCAGCAGCCGCGGUAAUACGAAGGGGGCUAGCGUUGCUCGGAAUUACUGGGCGUAAAGGGAGCGUAGGCGGACAUUUAAGUCAGGGGUGAAAUCCCGGGGCUCAACCUCGGAAUUGCCUUUGAUACUGGGUGUCUUGAGUAUGAGAGAGGUGUGUGGAACUCCGAGUGUAGAGGUGAAAUUCGUAGAUAUUCGGAAGAACACCAGUGGCGAAGGCGACACACUGGCUCAUUACUGACGCUGAGGCUCGAAAGCGUGGGGAGCAAACAGGAUUAGAAACCCGUGUAGUCCCA
rnacentral:rRNA from 1 species